rnacentral:sRNA from 1 species
UCAUUGCGUUUCCCUUCAAUUCCAAUUCAAGGGCUACUGAAACCGACUAAACAACAAACAGUAAACAAAGAGCUAUCAUAUCCAUCCGUUUCCACUCCUGUUGCCUUCCAGGCAGUGGGGGGAUAGUUUCUUGAGGCACUUGCAUAUACAUAGUGUGGUCGUAAACCCUUUGCAUAUUUAUAGUCCAGUCCCAGCAGCUGCGGAAGUAUGCAAAUUGGAAAACUUAUGGGCUCUGUAAACUUCAUAAAUAUAUUGCCCAAGAAGGUGCCUUGAAGCUAUAUCGAAUAAAUCAAAUUUGUGAUUUUUACAUGGCCAUCACGAGAAGAAAAUACCUAAGAUUAUUUCGUGGUUAAGUCCAUCUGUGACCACUAACCUCUGGCCAUAACGAAUAUCAAUAGUAUUUCCGAACUGAUGAAGCGCACUAGAAAUUUAUCAACAAUUUUCAUUUGACUUGGCUUCGCCUUGAUAAAAUGGAAAUCCACAAGAGCGACAAUCGAAUAGAACCACUGAAGCAGGCUAAUUUAAUAAGUUAAGCCACAGCCACAAUUUCUCGCCUUUGAACGUUACAACAACAAUAUUUUUCCAAUUGAACUAACGAAUAUUUAAUGAAAAUCAACACUUCCGCUUUGCUGAGCGCAGUUGAACACACACACACACACACACACUGACAAUCAACUAAUACCGGUAGCAUCGUAUUACAUAACGAGCUCCAAAUGCUCACCGCAGAAUGAGUCGUACGUGCCACAUUCGCCUCAAGUUGUCUGCACUCUGGCAGAGCCAGGGCUCACUGGAUAUCCCAUUUCGUUGAUAGUCAUCCAAGGGCUUGGCUUGGCGAAAGGUCUGAUAUCUUCGAAAACAAAGCAGACCGCGAUCUUUCUCAAUUUCGAUCGAACUGGUCAUGGGAGAUGGGAAAAAGUAUAGAAAGAAAGUGAGGAACCACGACCGCUAGCUAUGUUCUAAGUGGGGUUUAAUUUAUUUCUGGAAAUGGUGGCCCGGGCAGGAAUGUCUAUUUUAUCAUCGUGUCAACUAGUUGUACUGACAUGACGGUCCAUUUCCUAGAGCAACAAGCAAAUUGUCAUCCGUGGUCCGUGCCUCGUGCCACCCGCAAAAAGAUACAAAAAAUUACCAUGAAUUACUGUAAUUCCACUUGUGCUGCGACUGGAAUGCUGCCGGCUGGCCCUAAGCCAUGGCCAUUACAUGGAAAUGGGACAUGUCAGUGGACAUCGUCACUGAGAGAGGCCAGGCCAGGACAUGUGUGCAUGUUGGUCCGAUCUCUGGCCAAGCGGUCACGUUCGCACUGUAUGACCGGAACGUGCAAUUUUUCUGUGGCACAUGCGUCGAGGCGGGAAGCAGGCGGCGGGCGGCGGGAGGCCAGCAAAAGGAACGCAAUAAGCACAAGUUUUAUGCAAUAAAAUUAGCCCACUCUUACACACACACACGCACUGAGGAAGGACACGCAGGAUGCUUCAGUUGCUGAUAAGAUAAUUUUAUUUGGAUGUUAUUGCAUAAAGUCAUGUGAGCGGCGGAAAUGAGUUGAACUAACGGAAAGCGACUACGUGCCUCUCAGAUCCGGCCGAUGGGGGCAAAGGACGAGUCCCUUGGAGUCGAGCCGCAGUUGGAUUUUAAUAAGAUAAUUGGCUUGUUUGUAAAUUGAUGAUUUUAAAGCUGAAGUUAAAGGUCGUCAGGGAUCGUCCACAUUGUACUCUCCGCCAAUUAUGUUCUGCGUC